UACGGGAGGCAGCAGUGGGGAAUAUUGCACAAUGGGCGCAAGCCUGAUGCAGCCAUGCCGCGUGUAUGAAGAAGGCCUUCGGGUUGUAAAGUACUUUCAGUCGUGAGGAAGGUGUUAAGGUUAAUAACCUUAGCAAUUGACGUUAGCGACAGAAGAAGCACCGGCUAACUCCGUGCCAGCAGCCGCGGUAAUACGGAGGGUGCGAGCGUUAAUCGGAAUUACUGGGCGUAAAGGGCACGCAGGCGGUUAAUUAAGUUGGAUGUGAAAUCCCCGGGCUUAACCUGGGAAUGGCAUUCAAGACUGGUUAGCUAGAGUCUUGUAGAGGGGGUAGAAUUCCGAUGUGUAGCGGUGAAAUGCGUAGAGAUGUGGAGGAAUACCGGUGGCGAAGGCGGCCCCUGGGACAAAGGACUGACGCUCAUGUGCGAAAGCGUGGGGAGCGAAACAGGGAUUAGAUACC
rnacentral:rRNA from 1 species